rnacentral:rRNA from 1 species
CUACGGGAUGCUCCAGUGAGGAAUAUUGCACAAUGGGGGGAACCCUGAUGCAGCAACGCCGCGUGGAGGAUGACGCAUUUCGGUGUGUAAACUCCUUUUAUAUGUCAAGAAAAUGACGGUAGCAUAUGAAUAAGCACCGGCUAACUCCGUGCCAGCAGCCGCGGUAAUACGGAGGGUGCAAGCGUUACUCGGAAUCACUGGGCGUAAAGGAAGCGUAGGCGGGUUGGAAAGUCAGGUGUGAAAUCCUACAGCUUAACUGUAGAACUGCACUUGAAACUUCUAAUCUAGAGUAUGGUAGGGGGAGAUGGAAUUAGUGGUGUAGGGGUAAAAUCCGUAGAUAUCACUAGGAAUACCUAAAGCGAAGGCGAUCUCCUGGAACAUAACUGACGCUAAGGCGUGAAAGCGUGGGGAGCAAACAGGAUUAGAUACCCUAGUAGUC